GAUGAACGCUGGCGGCGUGCCUAAUACAUGCAAGUAGAACGCUGAAGGAGGAGCUUGCUCUUCUGGAUGAGUUGCGAACGGGUGAGUAACGCGUAGGUAACCUGCCUGGUAGCGGGGGAUAACUAUUGGAAACGAUAGCUAAUACCGCAUGACAACAGUUAUUGCAUGAUAACUGUUUAAAAGGGGCAACUGCUCCACUACCAGAUGGACCUGCGUUGUAUUAGCUAGUUGGUGAGGUAACGGCUCACCAAGGCGACGAUACAUAGCCGACCUGAGAGGGUGAUCGGCCACACUGGGACUGAGACACGGCCCAGACUCCUACGGGAGGCAGCAGUAGGGAAUCUUCGGCAAUGGGCGGAAGUCUGACCGAGCAACGCCGCGUGAGUGAAGAAGGUUUUCGGAUCGUAAAGCUCUGUUGUAAGAGAAGAACGAGUGUGAGAGUGGAAAGUUCACACUGUGACGGUAUCUUACCAGAAAGGGACGGCUAACUACGU
rnacentral:rRNA from 1 species